rnacentral:rRNA from 1 species
AUAUUAUUAAGCGGAGGAAAAGAAACUAACUAGGAUUCCCCUAGUAAUGGCGAGUGAAGCGGCAACAGCUCAAAUUUGAAAUCUGGCUUCGGCCCGAGUUGUAAUUUGCAGAGGAUGCUUUUGGUGCGGUGCCUUCUGAGUUCCCUGGAAUGGGACGCCAUAGAGGGUGAGAGCCCCGUAUAGUUGGACACCAAGCCUGUGUAAAGUUCCUUCGACGAGUCGAGUAGUUUGGGAAUGCUGCUCAAAAUGGGAGGUAAAUUUCUUCUAAAGCUAAAUACCGGCCAGAGACCGAUAGCGCACAAGUA